rfam:Ovis aries breed Texel chromosome 12, whole genome shotgun sequence.
UCCCUGGUGGCUCAGAGGGUAAAGCGUCUGCCUACAAUGCAGGAGACCUGGGUUCGAUCCCUGGGUUGGGAA